ensembl:misc_RNA
GGCUUGCUCCUCCUGCGAUGAAGCGCAGAGGCUGCUGGGUCUGGAGUUGCUUUUUAGAACAUCUGCAGGUGAUGCAGGCCUCCAUAGCACUGAAGUAAGCAGGGUUAGGAAGCAACUAGAAGACAGGAAUUCCAUUGUCCAGCGCCUUCUCUGCAUCUAUAGGGAGUGGACUCUGAUGGAAAUGCUGUGAACUCUUCCUGGAUAUAUAGCAUGCUCUCCUCAGUAUCUCUCUCUCUUUUUAAAUUGAAAAUAGAUUCUUUUCUCAUAUAGUA